UCGACAGGAAACUGUCUUGCUGCUGAAGCUACAGAGGUACAAGAGAUAUUUAAUUCAUGUGCACUUCAAAAUCUGAUUGUAAUUUAUUCUUAGUGCACUACCUCUCCAAAAAAAAAAAAAAAAAAAAACUGUUUUGUUGCCUGUUGCGUUCUAGAGGGUCGGUCCUAGUUCAUAUGGUGUGCACAGGUUGUUCUUAAGCGCGGCUGUAACUGUAAGCCGCAUUGAACAGAUGUCCCCAUUGAAGGCUUUCUUCUCCUACACACAUGGGCUAUAUUACCAUCAUGAAAUCAAUCUCAAAACCUGUCCCUUUCGCAACCAUAAUGACCGAGUUAUUCUGGGCCGCUGAGCACGAACAAAGUGUGUUCAAUAUUGCGUGCUCCAGAAUCACUCCGCUUAGAGAACCGGGAGAAAAGGAGUCAAGCCAGAGAUGUAGAAAUAUACUUUAAUGUGGAGGUUUACAAAGCAACGCGAUAAUCUGAAGGCCUUCCUAUCAAAGAUUAUCACUUGGGUAUCACUUGUCGCUUUCACCAGCAAUUAGAAGACCGCUGUUGCUCAGGGUGCAUAUUGUCAUAAUUACUCACUCAGUUUUUCUGCAGUUAUUUUUUAAAUAGAAAUAUAUAGGGUACAUAAUUAAAACUCUGGUAUUAACUUCUAACAAUUAAGACACAGACAGUCCUUUAUUAAAUUUAGUACAUUGUUAUUAGAGGAGAUAGAUAGAUAGAUAGAUAGAUAGAUAGAUAGAUAGAUAGAUAGAUAGAUAGAUAGAUAGAUAGAUAGAUAGAUAGAUAGAUGUGACCUUUGCAUCAAAAUGUUGUUUCUGUCCUAACAGACACUGUGUAACUGUAUGCAGUAAAGUAUGCAGUGCAGAGAUUGGGAGAGCAGGGUAUGUUGGUUGUUGUUUUCUCUUUUUCACCAGGAGGUUGGAAAGAGCAGAUGUCCGUCUGCACUGUGAGCUGCCAAGUGGGUCCGGAGCGGGGCAGCCACAGACACAAGGGCCCAAAUGGUGUGACAAAAGAUGUGCAGGAAGUCCCUCUCCGCCUGGGUGAGCCACAGAGAGGGUCUCCCCUCUCUGCCAGCCUGCAGGGACACUCACAACACGAGCCAGAGUGGUGGCAGCAAAGCCAUGUGUUACCGGCUGGGAUGCAUGGCACAUAACUUCACAACACGCCUCCUCACAGCAGUCCUGUAAAAUGGUUUUGUGGUGAAAGGGCUCCAUGGUGUUGUCAGGUGACAUUGUUGGCAUACUUGUUUCCUGCACCCUCAGGGACAGAAGCAGCAAACACAAGGGAUGAGUGAGCCGCCUAGUGUUGUCUACCUGUCUGAUUUACUGUCCUGCUGUGUUUGAAGUAGGACAGGCGGAAUUCACUUCACUCUGGUUCUUUGUGAUCAGUCCUCCCAGAUUACAGCCCAGGUGAGGCCCCUCGCCAUCAACCACAGGAUAUAGGAAGUACCUGUCUCUCAUAGCCCCUGGACAUUGCCCCUGAACUAGCUUUCCUAAUGUCAGCCUAUGUAACAUUGCACUUAUGUUUCAAUGUACAAGACCCCUCUGCUUAUACAUGAUGACUUAUACGAGCAUUUACUAACUUUACACAAGCCACAAUGUGGUGAUAUCACAAGCCACGAUGGGUUAAAAUAAUCACGUAGCAUGAGAUAGCCUGGAGCUGGGGCACUGUGGUGUUUUAACCUGUUGUGGACCCAGACAGCACAGCAUGAGCCUGGCGUCAACAGUGUUUUCUUUGUCAGACCUGUUCAGCCCAUGGAAACACAAGCCAACACUUGUGAUGUGUUUGGCUGUAGCUCUUUUUGACAACAAACUUUUUGACAACAGCAACAGUCACUGCUGCUGACACCAAAAUCGUCUAUGUUUAAAUGUUAGCAUAUUGUUUAUGUUUCAGUAUUGACUGUUGGUGCCAGCGUGGGAACAGUCUGAACCGAUAAAGACCAGUUUAUCAUUUCAUAACACUGCUUUAUCGAAGUUCAGUGACUAUAGGCCCUGCAGACUACAUAUGGCUGUACAUGUAUGCAUCAAAACAGCCUUCCUAGUGUUUACAGAGCAUCAAGGCAUGCUAAAUAUUUCUGUAUUUUUCAAUUCCCCAGUCUUCCCACCUAAUCAGCGACCAGUGUAUAUGAGCUUCAGGACAGAGUGAUGUUGGCAUGGUGUGGCUGAUUAGAGUCAAUCAGCAGGGGAUGAAACCAACAUUGCCUUCAAAACAACCACACAGACAGAGGUCUGGAAUUUCUCCUCUCGGCACAUCAGCUAAUGGUGUAGCCAAAUUUUCAUAGACCAAAUGACAGCUUGAUUGUGAGCAACAUGUUCAUGUGGAAUUGGGAUGCUGAUUUGGUGCUGUUAGAGGGGAUCCAGAGAGGAAAAAGGCAGAAUAUAAUCAGCACCUCUAAAAGUUAAACAGAACAUCAGCAUCAAAGAAAAUGAUUGGUGGAGAUAUUGUUAGGGAGCUGAUAUAUCCCAAGAACAAAAAUAGAUGCCUUAAAUCUGACAUUUUGUCGCGCAGCACAAUCAGACUGUUGAAUCAACAACAUUUUGUAUGAUCAUUAUAUAAAUCUGAGACAUUGGUAGAAGUUGAUAUUUCGAUAGGAUUAUGCCAAGUGCAUGCAGGGAAGACAGUCUCAUUUAAUUGAUCAGCGAUCUUGGAGAACCAAUGAAAACACUGUAACCAAAAGGAAAACUAGGGUAAGUACAUAACUUUGUACAGUUAAAAUGUUGUUGUUAUUAUUGUUAUGUUGUGUUUCACAUGCUCCUGAAAACAUAAAAUUCCAUAGAAAUCCAUUUCUGUUAAAUAAACUCAUGCCACACAUCUCCCACUGUCGGAAUAUCUAGAAAAUAACACUGAAUAAUAAUAAAAAAUAAUCAAGUAAUCUACACUUCUGGUAUUCACAGUUUUAUGACUUGCCACAUUUUUUUCUUUCUUAUACUUUCUUUCUUGCUUUUGCUCAUACAUUCACACCCACACAAUGGACGUUAUUUGCAGCAGAGCGUCGGAUUGUGCAAGAUGUAUUUUGAUAACAGGACAAAUUAGGCUGUCAUAUGAAGGGUGAAGACUAGUGAUUUUCUAACACUGUAGCAACAGUAAUGAGGUGGCUGUUGGCUUGUGUCAUCUUGGCAUGACCAAGUCUUUGACCGUGUAUGCCAUGACUGUUUUGAAAUACUAUUUUUAGAAUCCACUUGCUUACCGUAUGACCGUUACAUAUUUGCACAUCACUUACGAUUGAUUGAAACAAUUACAUUUCCUAAAUCACUCAGUUAGUUAAUCUGCUUUUUCUCAAACCAAAGCUAUUGCAUUUUUCUUUUAAUUUAGCUAAAAUAAUGUCUCUCAAUAGCACAAUGAGUACAAAAAUAUUGUCUUUUUGACUGUGAUAAGGUCAAGGGUCAAAUUCACAAUAAGAAAUGAGAUUUCAGAUGCAAAAACAGUCUUUCAUUUGACAAUAAAGUGAAUGACUGCUGUGAAAUAAACAUCACUACAGUGACUUGCAUUACCAUGUGUCAGAUAAGAGACUUUCAAGUGUCUUUGGAGAACUAAAUAAGUGCUAUUGAUAUUUUAGCAUUUCAAUGGCCACCUUAACUCUCAAAGCUGGCAUUGUUUUCAUUUAAGUCUCAGGCCUUUGCUGCUGGUAUCAGUUGAGUUCCCCAUUGAAGAGGAAAUCAGAAGAAACCAACAUUUAAAUGAGGAAUAAGAGGCUUCUGUGUGUCAAGAGCUAAAAGGAGCUGUUUUUGUCUUGCAUCACUGUAUUGCCAUUUUAAAGAAUUACUUCAAGGGAAAACAAAGUAAUGGUGACAGCACUCACAUUGUGCAGCUAAUGAAUAUUGUUUUCUCAUAAAAAGGACUGACCUCUCUCAAUUUAUUUCUGCAUAAUUGAUAUCUGUGCCUUGUUGAUUGAUACUUGAUAAAGAAAGGUGCACAUGAAGUAAUAAAUAAAUACAUUUGUUUAAUUUUUUUAAGCACAUUCCACUCCGCCUCAUCUAGUUUUCAGUUAAAACAAAGGUUCACAAACUUUCUGAGACCCAAAAAAUCAAUUCCCAUGAGGUCAUUGUAGGUCAAGUUUUGAUUAUGUAGAAUGACUCUCAUUUCCAUUGUAUCAAAAAGAUUUUUGUAGUUGUCAGUUUAAUAUCAUAUUGGAGGUUGAUGACUAUUUCACAAUAGAACAGUGUUUAUUUAUUAUUGAUUUAUUUAUUUUAAUGUAUAUUAACUAAUGUAUCUCUUUUAAAAAAGACACAGUAAAAUGUGUCUUUUAACUGUAUCAUAUUUUUUGAGAUGCAAUGUAUUCUUUGCAGAUCUGUGAGGUCAGCUUCAUCAGUAUCAACUGUUCCAACUGUGUAUGAACUUACAGUGGAUUGACAAAUCUUUGUGUGGGGUUCUUGAGGCAGCAGUGAGUCCCAAAUUGAAUUACAUGCACAUUUCUCAGCCACAAAGGGGAGCCAUCACUAAUUAAAACCAUGUGAUUGAUGACACUGACGCUUCAUGCCAAAGGAGGAUAAAUCACUCUCACAGUCACUUUGCUGCAUUGGUUCCUGUCUCCACACCGUAAGCUACUGUAAGUUCAACACUUCCUCAGCGGAGGAGAAUAAACGACCGAAAGAGCACAGCGUUGUUGCUGGUGGUUUGUUUUUAAUGUUUAUUUGUGCAUUAUGUCCUUAAGUCUUUAGCUUCUUAGUCACAUAUGUGAAAUAAUCUGAGGAAACAAUGUCACUUGUGAAGGCCAACAUCGGUAUAUGAAUCUCUGUCUAAUGUAUAUGAAUUUGUCCUUCUAUGAACAUACAGUACAUGCUCUUCAUUAUGUUUAACCGAGUGAAACUUUGACCUAUUAAAAGGUAAGCUGUCAACCUA